rnacentral:rRNA from 1 species
AGUGAACGCUGGCGGUAGGCCUAACACAUGCAAGUCGAACGGCAGCACAGUAAGAGCUUGCUCGUACGGGUGGCGAGUGGCGGACGGGUGAGGAAUACAUCGGAAUCUACUUUUUCGUGGGGGAUAACGUAGGGAAACUUACGCUAAUACCGCAUACGACCUACGGGUGAAAGCAGGGGAUCUUCGGACCUUGCGCGAGUGAAUGAGCCGAUGUCGGAUUAGCUAGUUGGCGGGGUAAAGGCCCACCAAGGCGACGAUCCGUAGCUGGUCUGAGAGGAUGAUCAGACACACUGGAACUGAGACACGGUCCAGACUCCUACGGGAGGCCGCAGUGGGGAAUAUUGGACAAUGGGCGCAAGCCUGAUCCAGCCAUACCGCGUGGGUGAAGAAGGCCUUCGGGUUGUAAAGCCCUUUUGUUGGGAAAGAAAAGCAGCAGGUUAAUACCCCGCUGUUCUGACGGUACCCAAAGAAUAAGCACCGGCUAACUUCGUG